ACGGUUUGGCCGAGUGGUCUAGGCGCCAGAUUUAGGCUCUGGUCCGAAGGGCGUGGGUUCAAAUCCCACAGCGCGUU
rnacentral:tRNA from 1 species